rnacentral:sRNA from 1 species
GCCAGGUGCAGUGGCACGCACCUGUAAUCCCAGUGGCUCAGGAGGCUGAGACAGUAGGAUCAUGAGUUCAAAGCCAGCCUCAGCAACAAUGAGAGGCUAGGUAACUCAGUGAGACCCUGUUUCUA